rnacentral:rRNA from 1 species
GACGAACCGUGCGCACGUUGUUCGGAAUCACUGGGCUUAAAGGGCGCGUAGGCGGGCCGCCGCGUCCGGGGUGAAAUCCCCCCGCUCAACGGGGGAACGGCCUCGGAUACGGGCGGCCUGGAGGCGGGUAGGGGCACGCGGAACUGUGGGUGGAGCGGUGAAAUGCGUUGAGAUCCACAGGAACUCCGGUGGCGAAGGCGGCGUGCUGGACCCGAUCUGACGCUGAGGCGCGAAAGCCAGGGGAGCGAACGGG